UAAAACAAGAAAAUUCAAAAAAAGAGGUCGGUUAGUAUUCUCGAACUUUGUCCCCAGCCAGUCAGCAUUAGGGUUUUAAACCCUAAACUGAACUUUUCCUUUCAGUCAGCAUUAGGGUUUUAAACCCUAAACUGAACUUUUUACUUUAGUUAGCAUUAGGGUUUUAAACCCUAAACUGAACUCUUUCCUUUAGUCAGCAUUAGGGUUUUAAACCCUAAACCGAACUUUUCCUUUAGUCAGCAUUAGGGUUUUAAACUCUAAACUGAACU
rnacentral:lncRNA from 1 species